CCUACGGGUGGCAGCAGUGAGGAAUAUUGGUCAAUGGGCGGAAGCCUGAACCAGCCAAGUAGCGUGCAGGAUGACGGCCCUACGGGUUGUAAACUGCUUUUAUACGGGAAUAACGCGCCUUACGUGUUGGGCUUUGCAUGUCCCGUAUGAAUAAGGACGGGCUAAUUCCGUGCCAGCAGCCGCGGUAAUACGGAAGGGCCGGGCGUUAUCCGGAUUUAGUGGGUGUAAAGGGAGCGUAGGCGGCAUGUCAAGCGUGUUGUGAAAUGGCCGGGCCUAACCCGGGCCUGGCAUCGGGAACUGGCGGGCUUGAGUCCGCGGAAGGCAGGCGGAAUUCGUCGUGUAGCGGUGAAAUGCUUAGAUAUGACGAAGAACCCCGAUUGCGAAGGCAGCUUGCUGCAGCGGAACUGACGCUGAUGCUCGAAAGCGCGGGUAUCGAACAGGAUUAGAUACCCCAGUAGUC
rnacentral:rRNA from 1 species